rnacentral:rRNA from 1 species
AGUGAACGCUGGCGGUAGGCCUAACACAUGCAAGUCGAACGGCAGCACAGUAAGAGCUUGCUCUUACGGGUGGCGAGUGGCGGACGGGUGAGGAAUACAUCGGAAUCUACUUUUUCGUGGGGGAUAACGUAGGGAAACUUACGCUAAUACCGCAUACGACCUACGGGUGAAAGCAGGGGAUCUUCGGACCUUGCGCGAUUGAAUGAGCCGAUGUCGGAUUAGCUAGUUGGCGGGGUAAAGGCCCACCAAGGCGACGAUCCGUAGCUGGUCUGAGAGGAUGAUCAGCCACAAUGGAACUGAGACACGGUCCAGACUCCUACGGGAGGCAGCAGUGGGGAAUAUUGGACAAUGGGCGCAAGCCUGAUCCAGCCAUACCGCGUGGGUGAAGAAGGCCUUCGGGUUGUAAAGCCCUUUUGUUGGGAAAGAAAAGCAGCAGGUUAAUACCCCGCUGUUCUGACGGUACCCAAAGAAUAAACACCGGCUAACUUCGU